rnacentral:pre_miRNA from 1 species
UAUUAAAAAAUUUAUUUAUUUGUACCGUACAAAUUUGACAUAGUUAAUGGAAUAAACAAAUAGUGACACAUAAUGUGUCACGUAUACCUCAUACUAACAAACAUGGAUUAGUUUUUAACAAUAAAAAUAGAUAAAAUUUUUAAUA